ensembl:lncRNA
AUGCAGGAUUCACCAGGUCAUCCAGGAGAUGCAGGCUCAGUGCUGACAGAACCAGUCCCAGGAGCACCCACAGGAAUCCCUCUGGGGGAGGGUCUCUUCAAGGAUGGAGCUAAAAAAAAAUAUUCCCCAGCUGUGCCUCUGGUGUGGGAUUCGCUGGCCGCUGGAUGUGAGCAUCUAUCUCCCCCAUGGACUGGUGUUCCUUCAGGUAAAAUUCUGUGCUCUUUCAUUUCCGUGUCCUCAGGUGCUGGUUUCCAGUCUCAAGGCCUGGGUGUUCAAGGCACAUAGUAGGUGAUCAACACAUGAUUUGCAAACAAAAUGUUGGUGGAGUUUCCAGAAUAGGAUGAAAAGUUCUAUGGUUCUCUUCAAGUUGAAGUUUUUGUUUCUGGACACUGUUUUCUUGUGAAAAAUACUGAUGUCUGGAUCCUACUCUCAGGCUUCUGAUACAGUUGGUCUGGGUGGCAGAUCUGGGCUGCAGCUUCGGCACUGAGAGUUUUAAAAGUUGCUCAGAUGAUUCCAGCAUGUAGUCAGGGCUGAAAUCAUGAUUGUGAUUCAAUCUCCAUUCCUGAGAUCCCUCUUCGAUCUCUUAGUCUCUCCUCUCACCAGGAUGAACUGUGUGUUCUUCGUUAAACCAGCUAGGGGAGGGCCUGCCCCAAGGGCAAGGGUCCAGAGAAAAAUGCCUGCAAUAACUUAAGGAUAAAGACCCUGAGAGUGAGCACAUGUGUGUGUGUGUGUACAUGUAUAUACAUGUAUGUAGUGUACUCUCAUGAUAACAGCUAUAGCCACGCAGGAAGACUUGGCCAUGGAUGGCUGGGAGGAAGGAGGGAGCAAGGAGAGUGAAAGCGACCAGCUCUGGAAACUGGGAAGGCUGCUCGAGGCCUCUGUUCAUCUGUGCUGCCACCUGAGACCCCUCUUGAAGACUGCCUGUCCAAACAGGCCGGGCAGUUCGAGUAGGCAGUGAGGCAGGGUUUGAGAGCUUGAUUUAUAGAGCAAUCCAGUUCAACUCCAGGAACUGGCCUUUAUAUCUGUGUGAUCUUGGCUACUGACUUAACCUCUCUGAGCCUCAGUUUCCUUACACACAAAAUGUAUAUUUAAUAAGGUUUUUGAGAAGAUUCAAUGAGGUUAUAGUUAUAAAAUGUGUAUUUAUAAAAGGCUUGGUACAAGCAUGCAGUGAGAGCU